rnacentral:rRNA from 1 species
GACGAACGCUGGCGGCGUGCUUAACACAUGCAAGUCGAACGGAAAGGCCCUGCUUUUGCGGGGUGCUCGAGUGGCGAACGGGUGAGUAACACGUGAGUAACCUGCCCUUGACUUUGGGAUAACUUCAGGAAACUCCGGCUAAUACCGGAGAGGAUCUUCUGCUGCAUGGGGGGGGUUGGAAAGUUCCGGCGGUUGGGGCUGUACUCGCUGCUUAUCAGCUUGUUGGUGGGGUAGUGACUGACCAAGGCUUUGACGGGUAGGCGGGCUGAGAGGGGGGACGGCCACAAUGGGACUGCGAUACGGCCCAGUAUCCUACGGGACGCAGCAGUGGAGAAUAUUACAGAAUGGGGGGGAGUCUGUGGUAGCAAUGCUGGGAGCGGGAAAACGGGCUACGAGGUGUGAACAGAUGUCGCCGGUGACGAAGAGUGCGUGACGGUAAUGGGUAAGGAAGCAACGGCUAACUACGUG